CAUGCAAGCCGAGCGGUAGAAGAUCUUCGGAUCUUUGAGAGCGGCGCACGGGUGCGGAACACGUGUGCAACCUGCCUUUAUCAGGGGGAUAGCCUUUCGAAAGGAAGAUUAAUACCCCAUAAUAUAAUGACUGGCAUCAGUUAUUAUUGAAAACUCCGGUGGAUAGAGAUGGGCACGCGCAAGAUUAGAUAGUUGGUGAGGUAACGGCUCACCAAGUCUGCGAUCUUUAGGGGGCCUGAGAGGGUGAUCCCCCACACUGGUACUGAGACACGGACCAGACUCCUACGGGAGGCAGCAGUGAGGAAUAUUGGACAAUGGGUGAGAGCCUGAUCCAGCCAUCCCGCGUGAAGGACGACGGCCCUAUGGGUUGUAAACUUCUUUUGUAUAGGGAUAAACCUACUCUCGUGAGAGUAGCUGAAGGUACUAUACGAAUAAGCACCGGCUAACUCCGUGCCAGCAGCCGCGGUAAUACGGAGGGUGCAAGCGUUAUCCGGAUUUAUUGGGUUUAAAGGGUCCGUAGGCUGAUUUGUAAGUCAGUGGUGAAAUCUCACAGCUCAACUGUGAAACUGCCAUUGAUACUGCAAGUCUUGAGUGUUGUUGAAGUAGCUGGAAUAAGUAGUGUAGCGGUGAAAUGCAUAGAUAUUACUUAGAACACCAAUUGCGAAGGCAGGUUACUAAGCAACAACUGACGCUGAUGGACGAAAGCGUGGGGAGCGAACAGGAUUAGAUACCCUGGUAGUCCACGCCGUAAACGAUGCUAACUCGUUUUUGGGUUUUCGGAUUCAGAGACUAAGCGAAAGUGAUAAGUUAGCCACCUGGGGAGUACGUUCGCAAGAAUGAAACUCAAAGGAAUUGACGGGGGCCCGCACAAGCGGUGGAUUAUGUGGUUUAAUUCGAUGAUACGCGAGGAACCUUACCAAGGCUUAAAUGGGAAUUGACAGGUUUAGAAAUAGACUUUUCUUCGGACAAUUUUCAAGGUGC
rnacentral:rRNA from 1 species